rnacentral:rRNA from 1 species
AUUGAACGCUGGCGGCAUGCCUUACGCAUGCAAGUCGAAAGGUAACAGGUCUUCGGAUGCUGACGAGUGGCGAACGGGUGAGUAAUACAUCGGAACGUGCCUAGUAGUGGGGGAUAACGAAGCGAAAGCUUUGCUAAUACCGCAUACGAUCUCAGGAUGAAAGCAGGGGACCGCAAGGCCUUGCGCUCACGGAGCGGCCGAUGGCAGAUUAGGUAGUUGGUGGGAUAAAAGCUUACCACGCCGACGAUCUGUAGCUGGUCUGAGAGGACGACCAGCCACCCGGGGACUGAGGCACGACCCAUAGUCCUACGGGAGGCUGCAGUGAGUAGUUUUUGACGAUGGGCGCGAGCAUAAUCCAUCCAUGCGUCGUGCAGGAUGAAGGCCUUCGGAUUGUAAACUGCUUUUGUACGUAACGAAAAGACUCCUUCUAAUAAAGGGUGUCCAUGACGGUACCGUAAGAAUAAGCACCGGCUAACUACGUGCCAGCCGCCGCUGUAACAC